rnacentral:lncRNA from 1 species
GAUGGAGGGAUAUUCAAAAAUAUGAGUAUAUAAGUUAAUUAUAAAUUUUACCAAUGAGAAGGAUAUAUAGUGCAUGAUUUAAAAUAAUAAUAAAAUAUCAAUAUUAUUUAUUAUAAAUUUCAUAAAGCCAGUUGAUUCUGAAUAUUUUCAUUGUUUUUGCCAAACUCCUCUGUCCACAGCCAGCCUGUGGUUUGAUGACAGGACUUGUAUCCCAAUCCACUAAUUUUUUCUCUACUAAAUUUAUUGUUAUUACUUCUUUGUGUGAAUCAUUGUCAUUCUUAUUCUCAUUCUUAUUGUAUUUAUCAAACUCCAACCUUUCAGCUUUAGCCCUGCUUUAUUAACUUUUUCUCCUUCAACUUCCUAAACAUAGACAUUGAAGGCAAUAAAUCCAGCCCUGGUCUGUGGUGUUCACCAAUUUCCCUGGUGUAAAUGCUGCUUGGAUUCCAAGUUACCAACUCAAUUCAGAUGUUGCUGAAUUCCUAGAAGAUGCCAUCACCUUAUGGAUACAACAAACCUGAACAACCUCAAGAUCAUAGAUAAAAGUAGAUAAGAAUAAUUAAAGACUGGCAAGUUUUGUGUAUUAUUACUCUACCUAUAAUAAUACCUGUAAUAAUGUAUCUGAUUGUAAGUACAUUUAAUUUAAUUUUUAAUAAUGGCUGGCUUUAACAACCAACUUGCAAAAUUCUUGAGACUCUCCCUAUUGCCUCUUGGGAGCCGGUACCAGUUGGCUGCAGGAUACCACUCAUGGUAGUAACUGGUGGGGUUUCAGUUCUGGAGACAGACAGGGAGCCAACGGUGCAGCUCUCUGAUAGAUGAGGAGUGGUCCCUUGGUUACAGUGGAGGCAGGGAGGAAGGGGUAGCCACAUGCCAGUGUACCUCAGAGAAGCGGGGAUUUGUUCGAGUGCCAGUUAGAAGCAGGGAUUUGUUGGAGUGUCACUUUCGCCUUCUCAGUGGUGGUCUUCGUGGCCACCAGACUAGUCUAGUUCUUAGCUUGCAAGGUUGGAUUACUGUCCUGCUUCUGGGUGAGUCAUCCCCUCUCCAGAUUCUCCCCUUGCUAGUCUACACUCACAUUCCAGAAUUGCUGAGGGCCAUUGCUAAGUAAGAAUGACACAUGGCAUGACCCAGGUCACUUACAGUGACAUUGCAUGUAAGGUGACCUUACUCAAGGACCGGGUUUAGGGCGGAUCCCGGUUUAGGGCGGAUAGGGUUUAGGGCAUUCCGCUUUAGGACAAUCGGGUUUAGGGCGGUUCCAGGUUUAAGGUGUAUCCUGCUGGGAAUAGGGCGUAUCCUGCUGCCUCAGGUGCGCCUGCUCCUUGAGUUCCCGUUGAGUUCUCCUGGGAUUCAGAGAGUAUUUGGGAUUUCGCCCAGAACGUGAAUUGGGCGGAGAACGUGGAUUCCCCCAGAAUGUGUUUGUAGAGUGCCAG